rnacentral:lncRNA from 1 species
AUUCCCACACAACAAUAGUGGGAGACUUUAACACCCCACAGACAAUAUUACAUCAUCUAGACAGAAAAUUAACAAAGAUAUUCAUGACCCAAACUCAGCACUGGAUCAAAUGGACCUGGUAGACGUCUACAGAACUCUCCACCCCAAAACAAUAGAAUGUAUAUUAUUCCUCUCAUGACCACAUAGCACAUACUCUAAAGUCAAUCACAUAAUCACAAAUUAAAUACUACUGAAAUCAUAGCAAACAAUCUCUUGGACCACAGUGCAAUCAAAUCAGAAAUCAAGACCAACAAGUUCACCAUUUGACCCAGCAAUCACGAUACCCAAAGGAAUAUAAAUCAUUGCAUCAUAAAGGCAUAUACAUGUGUAUGUUCACUGCAGCACUAUUAACAAUAUCAAAGACAAAGAAGAACCCAAAAUAAGUUAAAUCUAACAAACUUUUUUUGAGCAAGAAGAGGGUUCUGGAUCCAAGCAACCCUCUAGACUGAACAAAGAUGAUGGAGACUGCCCCCACCUCCCAUGAGGUGAGCUGUAUUUUUAACCAGAAAACAAGACGUGUCAAAGAGACUACCUAAUUAGUGCAGUUUGACCAAGGCUUUAUUUGAGCAUAAUUUGUUAGUGUUCAGCCUGGGAUUGACAGGGUUUCAGUGCUGUGCUUCCCUGAGACUCGGUCACUUGGUUACAUGGGUAAACUUUUAGGUGAGGUUACAACUUGUUCACACAUCAACUAUGGCACAGUUCACUAAGGAGACCAAUUCGGACAAACCGUACUAGCCAAGUACAAAGGACACUUUGAGCCAAACUUAAUCUAACACUGUAUUUAACACACUGAGUACAUCACCAAGGAGAAAACUCCAAUGUUUUAGCCGACGUGAUAGUGUGCACCCACAGUCCCAGCUGCUCAGGAGGCUGAGGCAGGAGAAUCGCUUGAGCCCAGGAGUUCCGGGCUGAGUCCCUUAGCUAUGAUUGCUCCCCUGUACUCCAGCCUAGGCAACAGAACAAGACACUGUCUCUAAAAACUGAACAUUUUUUAAAUGUAUUCCUCCUGUCUAAUUGAGGCUUUGCAGCCUUUGACCACCAUCUUCCCAUUCCCCUGCGUCCCCCCACCAGCCUCUUUUGAUCAAUAGUUAAUUCUGUCUCUUUGAUGUUGAUUGUUUCAAAUUCUGUAAAUAAGUGAAAAUUUGCUAUUUGUCUUUCGGUUUCUGUCUUCUUUCAUUUAUUGUUCUCCACUUCCAUCUGUAUUGUCA